UACGGAGGGUGCAAGCGUUGCUCGGAAUUAUUGGGCGUAAAGGGUAGGUAGGUGGUCUCGUUUGUCUGGGGUGGAAGCCUUGAGCUUAACUCAAGAAGUGCCCCAGAAACGGCGAGACUAGAGUCCUGGAGAGGGUCGUGGAAUUCCCGGUGUAGCGGUGAAAUGCGUAGAUAUGCGGAGGAACACCGAUGGCGAAGGCAGUCCCCUGGGCCUGUACUGACGCUCAUGCACGAAAGCGUGGGGAGCAAACAGG
rnacentral:rRNA from 1 species